rnacentral:lncRNA from 1 species
GUGUCGGGCCAGACUCAGCCCCAGAAACCAGCCACCCUGCCGCGUCCGACUGCCAGGGAUCCCUCACGCCGCGAGGAAGAGACACUAGAGAGACACUCAGCUGCAGUGAGAAUACACAGGCAUCUUCAAGUACCAGAGAUGUCUCCAAGAGCACCAGCAACCCCAGCUAUCUGGAUCUGAAGUGGAUAUGCUCAGAGACAUCCUGGCCCACCCCAAAGAAGAUGCUGCUGCACUCAGAAGACGCCAGAGCUAGCCACCACCCACACUGCAAGUCUGGAAGCUCUGCAAGGACCCAGCAAGGCAGCCUGCUCAGCGAAGGCUUUGUCUCCUGUGGCAGGAAGAGCAACAUUAAGAACAAGAACCCCGGGCUGGACUACCCCUGAGAUUUAAUGACCAGAGCUGAGACCCCCAAGACCACAAUGACUAUGGAGGGCUGUCAUUACCCUGCCUGACCCUCUAAUGCCUCUCAGUUCAAGGAGGCCACUGAGUGAAACUGAAGGCUGGUUUUCCUUGGAAGCCAGCGGCCCAUCCACCUGCUCCACUUCCCUGCCUCUUGCAGCCUCCGCUCAAACACUGUCGUGGCUUGGCAGCACUACAAGUAUUUCAGGGGCUGCCAAGCUGCUCUCCUGUUUCCUCUUCCUUGGGGCUGAUUGCAUCCCAUGAUGUGCCCAGGUUUUGAGAUGCUCCUCGUGAAUGAAAAUAGGACUGUCUGGUUCCUCCAUCCAUAGCAAGGGAGCCUAGACAGAAAUAACUUCUGUGCAUUUCUCCAGCUACAUUUAGGGAAAACUAGAAAAUACAGAAAUAUAUCAAGAAGAAAAAAAAUUUAAAAAUGACCCAAAAUCCCACCAACCAGAGACAGCUAUUAAUGAUUGUGGUAUAUUUAUUGUAAGUCUCUUUAUUUCUGUCUUCAUGCAAACACAUUUUUAAAGAAUGGACACUGGUAUUAUAUUGUUUAUACAACUCUAAAUGCUGCUUUUUCACUUAUUACAAUUAGGACUUUUUUCAUGUUAAUAAAUACUUCCUGAAAACAUAAAUAUCUAAUGGUUACAUCAAAAUUUAUUACCUUUUCCUUGUUGAUGAACAUUUAGGUUGCUUUCAUUUUUUCUUGCUUAUAUAAAAUAAACAUUCUUGAACAUAAA